AUGACUCAUCUUUGAAGCAGUAGCAGAGAAAAACCCCAGGACCAUCACUGAGCACAUUCAAGAUCUCUAUUUGAAGUGGUGGAGGCUGCCGAGACCAGAUGCACCAGAGAUUGUGCCACUAAAACUCAUAUGAGCAGCACAGAGACUAUGGGGCACCUUCCGCUCCUCUGGCCCGAGACUAUGGAGCUGUGGCAUAGAGUGGCACAGGUGAUAAAGAUAGUUGCGCCAUCUUUCAGGGAAAGAGUGGGUGAGUCCCUACCAAGCUGUCUGCAUAGAUGUUUCGAGAGACGAACCAUAUGAAAUUGUGCUGCUACUUUUCACAACCUUCAAAGCCAAGAAGAUGAAAGAAAACCAGACCCAAGAAACAUGAGUGAAAAGUGCUAAUGGACCAUGUGAACCAUAGACUUCACUGUCUGCGGACAAGAAGUAUUAGAUGGUACCCAAGUAUCACUACCAGCUAUUCUAAUCAUAAUCACAAUCAAAAGUCCUGAACACAGAGGGAGAGAAAAUGUAGAACAACAUUAAAGCCAGACUUAUUGGCUUGAUAAAGACUAGUAGAAUCCCCGAGACUGGCAAUUAGAUACCCUUUACCCUGACGGCAAACCCACCCCAGAGAUCAGAUUCACCUGAACAAUAGACAGACCUAAAAAGUGAAUGAUAACACCAGGAAGGAAGGAAUGCAGUUUUCAGUACAAUCAUAUGAGAUCAAAAGGGCAAUUGCUCUAAACAGAGCUCAGAAGUCAGACAGGGGCAGGAAAGUAGGGCAAAUCGAAACAGGGAACCCAGGGAGGAGACUGGGGAAACACGAGUACUGUGAGGGAAUUGCAACCCAUGACACAGAAUAAAAUGUGUAUAAAUUAUUGAAUGGAAAACAAAUAUGUUCUGAAAAUGUUCACCAAAAGUUCAACAAGAUAAAAUAACAUAAAGGGGGAAAGCCGAAUUGCUGAGGAGAUAGAGGGGAUUUUUGAGAAGCUAAAUGGAGAGAAAAGGAGAGGGAGAAAGAUUCAGUGAGGUAAAGAAGAUGUCUUAUGGGAGAGUUUCUUUAGUGUGGUCGAGUCUGGACAUCAACCUGGCCAAUCCUUUCCAAGUUAGAAUGCCCAGGCAAGUGGGGAAGGGAUAAGGAGACAGAGGGAGGAUCACAGUAGGGGCCCUCACCUGGGUCAGUAGUCAGAAGGGAACCUGUCCAAAGAAAGCCAAUCUCAUUUGAAUUAUGUAAGAUUCCUUAAACUCAAUGUAAACGAUUAAAAAAUCUGAAUGCCACUGAGUCAAUUCUAAUGCAUAGUGAGCCUAUAAAACAUGGUAGAACCGCCCCUGUUUUCAAGAGUAA